CGCGCGCGCACACAUGCAUGAGUAUGCCCCUUAACUUUUUAAAAACUGUAACUUCUAUGAAAUUUUCUCAGUACAAAAAUAGUACAUCUUUUUUAUAGCAGUGAAAAAAUACCAAUGAGCAAGAAAAAAAAAAAAAAAAAGAAUCGCUCCCACUCCCAUCUUCCAAAGAUAACUACUUUUACAACCCAGUUUCGGUCUACGUCCUUCAGUUACUUUCCCAUGCCCGCAUAUUCUCUCUGUAACAAAAACAGGAUUGUAUCGUACAUGCUGUUUUACAAUUGGCUUCUUUUAUUUAACAUAUAACUAUCUUUCCAUGUCAUUAAAGAUUUUUCUAUACCUUUCAACAUCCUCUGUGAUUUUCAACAUCCUCUUGUGUUUGGAGCACACUUUAAAAUCCUGUAAUUUUUAGCAGCAUAUUUGAAGAAAUUAAAAGAGACUAGCUAUUAAGUAUAACAAUGUCUUUUUGCUGUCAAAACAUCCGCCAUAAUCCCACUGUUUGCUUGGUCCGUUAGAGCCCUGUUGUUACUUGAGUAGAGCUAGUGACUGUCCCCACUCUGCAUUCUUAACAUCCUCAAAAAGCAAAGUUGAACACAUUCCCAUAAAUGUUCUGGGCUUUAUUCUGAGUUUUUAAUCUCUUUCUUACAGCAAGAUGCCUUCUCCACUGUGGCAUGUGAUCCACUCAGCUCAGUGUUCUCUUCCGACAACCAGUGCUAAUUUAGGUGUCAGAUUACACUGUUGAUGGAGAAUAUUUGUGGAAAAUAUCUGCUCUGCCAAGAUGUUUUUAUCCCGCCUGCCGCCAGAAUUCAUAUGUUGCAAUCUGAACCCCCAAAGGUGAGGAAAUUAGGAGAUGAGGCCUUUGGGAGGUGAUGAGGUCAUAAGAUGGAGCCCUCAUGAAAGUGACCCCACAGAGCCCCUUCCAGCAUGUGAGGACACAGUGAGAAGGCUUCAGCUAUGAACCAGGAGAGGACCUUCACCAGAACGUGACCAUGUUGGCUUCUUGAUCUUGCACUUCCCAGCCUCCAGAACUGUGAGCACUUCUAGGAGAUGAAUCGACUUAAUCAGACUUAGCUGAUACCAGGGUCCUUAGCACGACUUAAUGGCUCAUUGUGGAUUCCGGAAGAAGACCGAGUGCCUACAAAUGAAGUAAGUAAGCCUACCCGUAGACUGGUGGUGAACUUGGUCCUCCUGGCCGUGUCAAAGCCAAGGAUGAGGGGUCUCUGCCUAGGGAAUAUUUCUUUGAAGGACCAGAAUAUCUGUAAUAGGUAGUGGUUCUUAUCCAUUCAGGGGGCAUGGAUCCCUUUAAGAACGUGAGAAGACUGUAGAGUCAUUCUUUAGAAAAGUGCACACGUAAGCACAAACACACACACCCCGUUUGGCAUAUAAUUUUUAGGGGAGUCCCAGUAAACCUGAAUCCAAGUUACCCCAAGAACCCUAAGUCUAUAGGUUAUAAAUGGGCACCAGACCUCACUAGCAUCUAAGCCUGACUGAUCAUUUUUUGGCUUUGUAGGGUAUUUGGAGGGCUUGUGUCCAACAGAAUGGAACCAAGUGUUUCUGUGGGGUUGCACGAGAAUGUAAACUCUGGUAUGAAGGACUCACCAAGGUAUUGGAAUUAAGUUGAAGCCAUUUAUCUAAACUGUGAACUUUAUACAGCUGACCACAGAUCUUCUGCCCUAUGGGAGGGCAGGCUGGUGGACCUCUUGGACCCACCUCUUGGAAAGGUUAUACAUUAAAAUAACUAAAGACACACAUUCAAGAAAUAGAAACACAAGAGGGAACUUGGAAUCAUUUAUUGCUGCCUAUUCUUUGCAGAGG